ACGCUCGUAGUCGGGUUUCGGGUCGGGCCGAGCGGUCUGCCGAUGGGUAUGCACUGUUUGGCGCGGCCUUCUUUCCGGAGACCGCGGCUACUCUUAACUGAGCGGGCGUGGGAGACGGAUCGUUUACUUUGAAAAAAUCAGAGUGUUUCAAGCAGGCAGCUCGCUCUUGCAUGGUACAGCAUGGGAUGAUUGAAUAGGACUCCGGUGCUAUUUUGUUGGUUUCGAACACCAGGAGUAAUGAUUAACAGGGACAGUCAGGGGCACUCGUAUUCCGUCGAGAGAGGUGAAAUUCUCAGACCAAUGGAAGACGAACCACUGCGAAAGCAUUUGCCAGGGAUGUUUUCACUGAUCAAGAACGAAAGUUAGGGGAUCGAAGACGAUCAGAUACCGUCGUAGUCUUAACCAUAAACCAUGCCGACUAGGGAUUGGAGGGUGUUCGUUUCGACCUCUUCAGCACCUUACGGGAAACUAAAGUCUUUGGGUUCCGGGGGGAGUAUGGUCGCAAGGCUGAAACUUAAAGGAAUUGACGGAAGGGCACCA
rnacentral:rRNA from 1 species